ACCAGGUUUUCUCCAGAAGGUUUGCCAGUUAUCUCUGAAGCCCACAUCGUUUCUUGGACACCACUCAGACAGCCAGUGUAACGAUGUCAAAGAAUUAACAUGGUUUUGUUAUGUUUAAAUUCCUGUUAAACUUGGGAUCGCAACCAUGGAUUUAUUUUGAAUGAUUUGGUUCUGAAACUUUUAUUUUGAAAAUCCACAACGGAAGUCUGCUACUGGUAAACUGGUUUUCCCAAAGCUUAUCCGUUUAGUAGCAACGAAAGUAACUGAGUAGAUUUCGGUUUUAUGAUCUUGUUUUGAAAUUAAUGGGUUAGACGGUAGAACAAAAAUGGACACGCUGAGCUAGCGGCUAACAGCUAGAGGAGACUGUUGUGUCUAAUAAUUUGAAACUUCCUUUGAUAGUUUGGGCGGAAUCCUGUUGCUGGAAACCCGUGGUUAUUCAUGUCCCAUGUUAUUGCAGAGGAUCUCCAACACCGUCUGGGUUUACAGCUGUGUCAUCCAGAAAACCACAGUUUGUGUCCCCAUCUGAGCUUUUAUUCUGCCCAUGGAGUGACUGAGCAGAUGGGCUGAGUGGUCCUCUCCAUUACAGAUGUGAUCCAGACCAGUUGGAGACAGAAUAUCAUACAAUU